GGCAUGGUAGCAUAUUUGGUAAUGCUUUAGAUUGCAAAUCUUAAAAAAAUAGUUCGAAUCUAUUUCAUGCCU
rnacentral:tRNA from 1 species